rnacentral:rRNA from 1 species
GAUGAACGCUGGCGGCGUGCCUAAUACAUGCAAGUCGAGCGAACAGACGAGGAGCUUGCUCCUCUGACGUUAGCGGCGGACGGGUGAGUAACACGUGGAUAACCUACCUAUAAGACUGGGAUAACUUCGGGAAACCGGAGCUAAUACCGGAUAAUAUAUUGAACCGCAUGGUUCGAUAGUGAAAGACGGUUUUGCUGUCACUUAUAGAUGGAUCCGCGCCGCAUUAGCUAGUUGGUAAGGUAACGGUUUACCAAGGCAACGAUGCGUAGCCGACCUGAGAGGGUGAUCGGCCACACUGGAACUGAGACACGGUCCAGACUCCUACGGGAGGCAGCAGUAGGGAAUCUUCCGCAAUGGGCGAAAGCCUGACGGAGCAACGCCGCGUGAGUGAUGAAGGUCUUCGGAUCGUAAAACUCUGUUAUUAGGGAAGAACAAAUGUGUAAGUAACUAUGCACGUCUUGACGGUACCUAAUCAGAAAGCCACGGCUAACUACGUG